CCUAGAUGCAACAGUGGACAGGGAACAGUUUUCGAUUGGACAGCAAUUGAACCAUAUCUACAGUGUAAUGAAUAGAUAUACCUACAAAAUAGUAAAAAGUGAAUCCAUCUUUCGAGUACUGAUAAAAUGAAGCAGCCUGAGUUGGCAAGACAUGAUAGCUACACUGAGGAUACUGGCCCGAAAUUUCAAAGGAGAAACGUAUGAUGUUCUUACGACCAGUAUCCUCAGUGUAUGCUUAGUGCAUAGUAAUGUAUCGGCAGUAGUGCAAUUAUUCUUUGAGAUCGGUAAGAUGGACGGAUAUCUACAAGAUCCGACAAUAUUGUGUGACGUAAGAGACGAUGUUAAUCUCUUCCUGUGAUGCCUGAACCAGGCUUUUUUUUUACCCAGGCAAUAGUAUGGCAGUGCAUGUCGUCAUCAACCUGGUGUUGACGUGGUGUGUAGUCAAUGGCGUGCUAAGCAGCGGGGUGGCUGGCAAGGUGCCAGUAGCUUAUUCCCAUUCUGUCCGGACAGCAUGCAUCCGUUUUGCAGACUUCGCGGGAUACACCUUCACACUGUCACGACACCACAACAGAACUUAGGAUAUGGGCAAACCAGGCUAAGUAAAUGUAAUGGCUGUUAGUCAUCUGACUGGAGGUAAAACAGACAAACCCGAUCAAGAAGAGAGUCUGAGCGAAGAGAGCUGAAUUGUAGAUAGGAGAUAUAGGUACCGAGUAGAGUUGUACAUG